AUUACUGGCUCCUGGAGUUCUCCGUAAUGCCCUCACGGACCCCUCAUGCAAGGGACAUCUCAGCACAAGGCUGUUUGCACUCCCAACACUGCUCAGGCUGAGUUGAAGAUCCCUCUCAUUUGCCGGGUGCCAAGAAAGAUGAACAGACCGGGCAAUAGAAAAAUAGCCAAAGAAGGAUCCAGUGAUUUGAAAUUCCAGAACUUCACUCUGCCGAAAAAUAGGUCAUGGCCCAGAAUCGACAGUGCCACAGGACAGUACCAGACUAUUAACGAGCCUCUUCUUGAUAGUGAAAGGAAUUCCAUAGCAGUCCUGGCUGGAGCAAAAGGCCACACAGAUGGUGACUAUGAAGACCCUGAGCUUCACACGGGAGAAGACUGGCAAUCAGUGAAAAUCUUACCAGCCAGGCCUAUUAAGGAAUCUGAAUAUGCAGAUACACGCUAUUUCAAGGGUAUGAUGGACACACCACUGUCUUUAGAUUCCAAGACCUCUCUCCCCACAGACAAGCAAACCUGGACGAAGCUGGAAGAAGUGGAAAAACCCAUUUCCAAGGACAUCAGAAAACAACAUGUUAAAGGAGACAAACCCACUAAGGGAAACAAGACACCUUUACCUCCUCCUCGACAGAUAAGCUUAAAGAAUUUAAGUGAGGUCCUUGGAACAGAGAAAGUUCCUUAUCACCAGAUGAAGCCUGAAGCACCUCAUCUGGCACAAAACCAAAGUCCUCAAGAGAUUCCUCUUGCCGUUGCCAGCUCUUCAUUCAUGACACGCAACCCGACUGUGCAAAACCGAGAUCAUAAAGAAAGCAUGCCAUCCUAUGCUCCUCAGAGAUGUCAGUCUCCAGCCGGCUCUGGCCCUCAGGAAAAUCCACUACUUCAUAAAAUCACGAGCAGGAAGAAACCUUUCCCUGCAAGGUCUGAUGGCAAGGAUGUCCAGCACAAUGAAUGGUACAUCGGAGAAUACAGUCGCCAGGCAGUGGAAGAGGCGUUACUGAAGGAGCACAAGAAUGGUACCUUCUUGGUCCGAGAUUGCUCUGCAAAAUCCAGGGCGGAGCCCUAUGUGUUGGCAGUGUUUUAUGGGAACAAGGUCUACAAUGUGAAAAUCCGCUUCUUGGAGAGGAAUCAGCAGUUUGCCCUGGGGACAGGACUCAGAGGAGAUGAGAAGUUUGACUCGGUGGAAGCCAUCAUUGAACACUACAAGUAUUUUCCUAUUAUACUUAUUGACGGGAAAGAUAAAACUGGGACCCACAGAGAGCAAUGUUACCUAACUCAGGCCCUCCCUGUCAACAGACACUUCUCACCUAGGUAG
rnacentral:lncRNA from 1 species